GACAGAGGCCCCAAGCGUUAGUCGGAAUUACUGGGCUUAAAGGGUGCGUAGGCGGGCGUGUAAGUGUUCUGUGAAAUCCCCGGGCUCAACCCGGGAACCGCAGGGCAUACUGCACGUCUCGAGGAAGCUAGAGGCCGGCGGAACGAUCGGUGGAGCGGUGGAAUGCGUAGAGAUCGAUCGGAACGCCAAGGGUGAAGACAGCCAGCUGGGGCUUUCCUGACGCUGAGGCACGAAAGCGCGGGGAUCAAACAGG
rnacentral:rRNA from 1 species